UACAGAGGGUGCGAGCGUUAUUCGGAAUUACUGGGCGUAAAGCGCGCGUAGGCGGCUUUGCAAGUCGGGUGUGAAAUCCCCAGGCUUAACCUGGGAACUGCAUUCGAGACUGCAUUGCUAGAGUAUGGGAGAGGGAAGUGGAAUUUCAGGUGUAGCGGUGAAAUGCGUAGAUAUCUGAAGGAACAUCAGUGGCGAAAGCGACUUCCUGGACCAAUACUGACGCUCAGGUGCGAAAGCGUGGGGAGCAAACAGG
rnacentral:rRNA from 1 species